AAAAAAAAAAAUCCUAGAUUUCUGUAUCCAACAUUUAACCGUCUGUCUUAUUUGAAAAAAUUAUAAAAAAAAUUAAAAAGACAAGUCACGUAUAAAAUAUUAAUCAUGUUUUAUUAUCUAACAACAAUGAAAAUACUAAUUAUAAAAAAAAUUUUAUAUAAAAUGGAUCCUCAAACGUUGGACACGAAAACCUAGAGUUUAUCUUUUU
rfam:Oryza nivara chromosome 2, whole genome shotgun sequence.